AAAAAGUGUUUUUAGCUUGAUUUUACUAUAUAAUAUCCCUUUAAAUGCAAAUUUCAGUGUGAAAGAUCAAAUUUAGAUAGUUUAUUUUUAAAUGUAUCGCAGUAAAUAAAAUUAUUUAUUUAAGCAAUUAAGAUAUAGUGAUUAUUUUUAGUACAGACUAAGUUUGUGCCAGCAGUCGCGGUUACACAAAUUGUACUAUAGUAGAUUUAUUGGUACUAGCGUAUAUUAAAUAUAAUUUAUAUUAAAUUUUAUUAAGUGAAAUUUUAAAAUUUUGUAAAUUUGAAUUUUGGUUGUUAAGCUGAUAAAUUUUUUUUAAAAAACUAGGAUUAGAUACCCUAUUAUUAAUAAAAUAAAUUUUAGUGCCUAAUUAGUAUUAGAUAUAAUCUUGAAAAUUAAAAAAGUUGGCGGUAUUUUAGUCUAUUCAGAGGAACCUGUUCUAUAAUUGAUAGUCCACGAUUAAAAUUACUUACGUUCAUAUUUACAUAUCGUCGUAGAUUGAAUAUUUUUAUAGAAUUUAUUAAUAUUCAAAAUUUUUGUAAAAAAAAUAAUUCAGAUCAAGGUGUAGUUUAUACGUGAGAAGAAAUGGGUUAUAAUAAAUUUAUUUAAACGAAUGAAUUUUUUUUCAAAAAUUUUUAAGGUGGAUUUGAAAGUAAUUUUAAAUAUAUUUUUAAAAUGAUUUUAGCUCUAAAAUAUGUACAUAUUGCCCGUCGCUUUCAUUCCAAGGUGAAAUAAGUCGUAACAAAGUAGGGGUACCGGAAGGUGUUCCUAGAAGUUC
rnacentral:rRNA from 1 species